rnacentral:lncRNA from 1 species
AUAAUAUUGACUAAUGUCCCUGACAAUAUUGAGAAUAAAGAUAUAUUAGAAAAACUAUUUCAACAAAAAUAAUGAACUAUUGAUGGAGGAAUUGGAAUCAAUAAAAAGUGAAACAACUUCUGUGACUUCUUUUAGAUCAGUUAGAACUCUUGAUAAUAGAAGACACAUAAUAUUCAACUUAACCCCAAAAAUUAGAAAUCUAAUGCUUAUAAAAACUUUCUGGUCUCUAGAGUGGAAUAAAAUUAAAAUUGAUGACUGUAUACCCUUGAUUAGAUAUUAUAGAUGUGGGUAUGGACAUCAAGCUACAAACUGCAAUGAAAAACAAAAAUAUAGCCAUUGUGCAGAGGCACACCGUUUUAAAAGAAUGUUGAAAUCAAUCAUCUGAGACAAUGUGCAUAAAUUGCAUAAGAGCAAAACCAAAAGCUACCAACAAAUGCUAAAAUUUCAAUUAAACACAAUGUAUUUUCCUGCAGUUGUGGCACAACACAAAAAGUAAAGAUCCAGUUAGCUAAAAAGACACACUAUUGAGGCUUCUCUUUUUUCUUUUAGGUUCUGUUUUCAACAUGGAUAUUACAGAUAAAGAUUAUUGUUCUUAUCAUAAAAAUUUUACAAAUAAAUCUACAAUGAUGAAAAGCAGCUAACACAAUAGCACAUAAAACUGCUAAUGAAUAAGAUAUUGAUAUAUUUAUUAACAACUACUCAGGGGAUUAAACCGUUAACCAAAUAUCACAACCAAAGCGCGGGCUCCCCCUGGUGAUUG